GUGUACCUUUUCACAUAGCAAUAAAACAGAUUGUGGUUUUAUGGAGUGAGUGGUGUUAUAUCUGUCAAUCUUAUGUGUUUAAAUACGUAAAUGUGUGAAAUUCAGGAUUUUGCUAUUGAGCAUAAGGAUAUUUAUAUAAAGAAAUAUUCGGGGUGCUCAGAAAUGGACUUAUACAUCACCGACUCACUCCAGGAUAUGCUGGACAUGGACAUCAAGAACGAGAUGGCCACAGAUCUAAGCAGUAUAACGGACUUUCCGGAUUCCCUGGGACUAAAUUUUUCCGAACUCCCUCCCCUAUUAGAUAUGGAUACAGACAAUUCUGCUAUAUGGCUCAACAACUCGUCUAGUUUUGUUCACAAUUUAGACCUGUAUGGUUCCGAAGCAAACGCCGUAAUGGUGAAUCCUAACUCUGUAAUGCCGUCCACAUUCGCUGAAACUCCGGUAAAGAGUAUUGUUAAGGAAGAGGCGUCAAAUUUAUUACUAACGUCAGCAGCCAGCAGUGAUUCAAAUAGCAGUACGUCGGCACCCAGCCCUAAAGAAGAGAAGAGCCAUCUUACCUUCUCACCGAACACGAUUAAGGUACCUAAGGUGGAACCAGAAGAGCCCCUUGUCAAGAAACCCCUAGAAGAAGCCACACAAAUGGUCAUCUAUGUGCGAAAACAGGACAAGCAUGUAGUGAAGGAUUUACUGAAGGACUUGGACACCAGCAAACUGAAGACCACCGCCACGCCCACGCCAACUCAAACCGUCAGGAUAAAGGCAACCCAGGAACUAAUCAAAGUCAAUAAUAAGAACUGUUCAAUUCUAAACACGAGCCAAAAAGUAACGCAACAAUUAGGAACUAAAACCAUUAUUUCCGGCAAUAUUCAUAUAUUAGACGCACAGCAAUCUAGGACAAUUUUAGCAAAUAGUAACAAGAGUCAAGCGACAAUACUAAUUGACAACUCGUCGUUGAACAAUAAUAGGCAAAUAAUUAAGACUUCGGUUAACGGAGCGUUCACAGUGGACGCGAGCCAAGCGAAGUUUGUAAACACGACAACCAAGCUUACUGCCGGGGCGGGAGAGUUCCCUAAACCCGCGUAUUCUUACUCUUGUCUGAUCGCGAUGGCGCUCAAAAACUCGAGGACCGGUAGUUUACCCGUGUCAGAGAUUUACAACUUCAUGUGUCAACAUUUCCCUUAUUUCAAAACGGCGCCAAAUGGCUGGAAAAAUUCAGUACGUCACAAUCUUAGUUUAAAUAAAUGUUUUGAGAAAAUUGAAAAGCCGUCGACGAAUGGCAGUCAAAGAAAAGGUUGCUUAUGGGCGAUGAAUCCUUCGAAAGUGGGGAAAAUGGAUGAGGAAGUUCAAAAGUGGUCACGGAAAGAUCCUCAGGCUAUUAAAAAGGCGAUGGUUUAUCCAGAAAGCCUAGAAGCGCUAGAACGGGGCGAGAUGAAGUACAGUGGAGCGGCGGGAGACGCAGAAGACGACGACGCAGACGGAGACCCCGACGCCGAGCUGGACGCGGACGUCGAGAUCGACCCCGAGAUCAAGACCGAGGUCGACGAGGAGGAGAUCAUCGAGCAGGAGGUGUCGGACCAGGAGCUGGAGGUGGAGGAGGUGUCGGGCACGGGCAUGGUGGGCGGCACGUACCGCCUGCUGGCCGCGUCCGGCGCGCUGCACGAGUACCUCGAGCCUGACGACGACGAGAGCGACAUCGAGGUGAGUCCACCCUUGCCUGUACGUGUACACCGUGCUGCAGGUGUCAGACAGGUGGUAGAGGAGGUGUCAGGCACACGGGCAUGGUGGGCGGCACGUACCGCCUGCUGGCCGCGUCCGGCGCGCUGCACGAGUACCUCGAGCCUGACGACGACGAGAGCGACAUCGAGGUGAGUCCACCCUUGCCUGUACGUGUACACCGUGCUGCAGGUGUCAGACAGGUGGUAGAGGAGGUGUCAGGCACACGGGCAUGGUGGGCGGCACGUACCGCCUGCUGGCCGCGUCCGGCGCGCUGCACGAGUACCUCGAGCCUGACGACGACGAGAGCGACAUCGAGGUGAGUCCACCCUUGCCUGUACGUGUACACCGUGCUGCAGGUGUCAGACAGGUGGUAGAGGAGGUGUCAGGCACACGGGCAUGGUGGGCGGCACGUACCGCCUGCUGGCCGCGUCCGGCGCGCUGCACGAGUACCUCGAGCCUGACGACGACGAGAGCGACAUCGAGGUGAGUCCACCCUUGCCUGUACGUGUACACCGUGCUGCAGGUGUCAGACAGGUGGUAGAGGAGGUGUCAGGCACACGGGCAUGGUGGGCGGCACGUACCGCCUGCUGGCCGCGUCCGGCGCGCUGCACGAGUACCUCGAGCCUGACGACGACGAGAGCGACAUCGAGGUGAGUCCACCCUUGCCUGUACGUGUACACCGUGCUGCAGGUGUCAGACAGGUGGUAGAGGAGGUGUCAGGCACACGGGCAUGGUGGGCGGCACGUACCGCCUGCUGGCCGCGUCCGGCGCGCUGCACGAGUACCUCGAGCCUGACGACGACGAGAGCGACAUCGAGGUGAGUCCACCCUUGCCUGUACGUGUACACCGUGCUGCAGGUGUCAGACAGGUGGUAGAGGAGGUGUCAGGCACACGGGCAUGGUGGGCGGCACGUACCGCCUGCUGGCCGCGUCCGGCGCGCUGCACGAGUACCUCGAGCCUGACGACGACGAGAGCGACAUCGAGGUGAGUCCACCCUUGCCUGUACGUGUACACCGUGCUGCAGGUGUCAGACAGGUGGUAGAGGAGGUGUCAGGCACACGGGCAUGGUGGGCGGCACGUACCGCCUGCUGGCCGCGUCCGGCGCGCUGCACGAGUACCUCGAGCCUGACGACGACGAGAGCGACAUCGAGGUGUUAGAUCAAUCGUAUGAAGAAAUCGAUAUCGACGUAACAAAACCCAUGAAGUUGGACCUAUCAGUCACAGAAAAUUAUACAAUUCAUUCCGCGAAGAGGGCGAAGACGAGCUUCAUCUACCAGCCGGUGACGACGCAGGCGCACACAAGCCGACGGAAAACGCCGCUCGUCAACCGGGUCGCACUCAUCUAGACCACACACACACACACACAUGUGAUCUACAGGGGUCGAGGUGGUAGGUAGUUUAGCGUAGGCGAACCAGUGAUCGUUCUGUUCCAUUAAAAAUUAAAUAAUGUCAAAUUCGAAUUGUAAUAGUUAAGUCGAGCGUGUGGUGCCCCUUUUUGGCACGUAAAAAGUAUGCCCGUAGUGUGAGGCUGUUUCGCGAGCGGACACUUGUUACAUAUCUUACACUGUAUAUUAGGUUAGUUUAUGGGGAAAUCGAAGCUCACGCGUGACCGCUUCGGCGUUAGAUAGUGAGGUCCGUGAAACUUUUAAUAAUGGUACUAUGAAAUAAAUAAUAGUGUUCAAACGUAGGCGAUACGAGUAUGAAAUGUUCCCGUAAUAGUUUGUAAGGGGCUGUGUUGCGGCCGCAUUAUGAGUACAAAAACAUUUCUGCUACUGUACUGACACUUUUAUACGUUUAGUGAAAUAUUGCGUUACUUAGCAUUUAUAACUAUAUUUUGCUAAAAAGGGAAUUGGUAGUUAUCCCGUAAACAGUUUACUGCUUUAGCAUCAGAAUUUACUAAAUGAAAUAACACCAAAUGUAGUAAAUAAACAAAUUGAUAGUGUUAGUGAAUAAUUCAUUCCAUCGGCAACAACUUCUAGUUGUUUACCAAUUUUCUCGUAAUCUAUUGAGCAUCAUUGAUAGGGACUAUGGAAAUCGGUUGAGUUAUCGACUAAAGUCUCGGUACAGUAGCGCACCAUAGCGGGUAUUGAGUAAGUUCCCACCGCUAUAACAUUUAAUGUUCUACUUUACAGAAGACAGUGGACACUGGCGGCUCUAGUCUGUUAAGCAUUAUAGUGCCAAAUACUGUUCCACGCGGUAAACAAUAACUAAGUUGUGUUAUGUUUAUCUGUAUACGAGUACUGGAACUAUGUGGCAACUAUACCGUUUUACUUGUAACCUCCUAUCACGCAACUCUACGGCCUUGACAACAACAUGCAAUUAGAUGCUAAGGUCGUGUCACGGAAAAUGCAAAAUGUUUCACUAACUACGUCUUGUAUUAACAUAUAUGACUCAGUAUUUGUCUUGAGUCAGUAAUCGGACAUAUAGAGCAAUGAACUUCUAUACCAAUUGGUAAAUGGUAUAUGCAAACAGUAAAACAAGUCGUAUAUUGCAGGAUAUUUGACUUGUAUUGACUAUUUUUAGGCACAGCAUUAAUGUUUUGUUGUAAAGGCUAAUAAAAGACGAGCGAUGAUGGAAGAUUUUUACCAAAACAAAUGACUCUUCUCUGAGCCUAUAGCCCGGGAUCGUACCUGUCCCAACUCCUAACUUAGCUGGGUUCAGAAAUGACUCAUUUUUAUACAAUACCUCUCAAUGAUUAAUUAAGACUAUUAAGUAUGUGACGUUAUUGUGUUUGUUCUUUGUUAAGUGUUUCUCGUACGAGCAAAACAAUAAGUUUGUCAAUAAAUACGCUGGCUAAUCAUGUCAAUAAGCUAUAUAUAGGUCAUUCCAGGCGAUAUCUUAUGAAAUAGGUAGGGUGUGCUCAGUUAAAUCUUCUAGUCGGCAGCAUACGUUCUAAAUAGAGAGAGACGGAUGCGUUUGUCGGCUAGCCCUGCUGUUGUGCCUAGGUUCUGUUAUUUAUGACGUACUUAUGGAAGAAUAACCAUACAUUAUCCCCAACUCUAUUGUGUUGGUAUUUUCAUUCAGCUUCAGGAUAUUCAUAUAUCUAAUCUCUAUAAUCGUAAUAAAUAACAGCGACUAGUUUCGAGUAGUUAGUCUUCCAGGCAAUAGAAAAAUACUUUCAUGAAAGUGCUUUUACAGAAUAACUGAUUAAAAGUUUGCUAUAGACUUUUCCAGUAGUAUUUUAAGUGAUUGAAAUGAGGUGCAAAAUUAUAUUAAGGUUGUGUUGAUAACGGUAGAUCUCAUGUCUUCAAGAUCAUGGUUUGUUACGAAAAAGCACACCCCUAGUCCAAUGCAUUUAAACUUUAAACACGUUACGCGGUGAGGACGAGUGACCUGUCAGAAGUUCAAGACUAUUUGCAGUACAAGUGUGUUACAAGCGCUAUUUGUACAAGAGUUCAAAUAUUACUGAUCACCGAUGUUUGUUAUGGCGACCGUAGGUAGGUACCGUGACGACACACUUGCAGUGCAAAAAUUUUAACUUAUGAUAUGGACACAUCGGAUUGAUGAAAUUUCAUGUGAUACGAUGUUAGGAAAAGUAACGUGCAAAAGGGACUUGUGAUUUAUUGGAUGUGAAUGUGUUAGUGAAAUUGUGUUAACAAAAAGAUUGUGUUAAAAAGAGUAAUGGCGUAAUGGACUGACAACAAAGCCUAAAAUUUAUAAACAUGGUCGUUUAUAUCUGGCUAAACGUUCAGUAUAACUCGCAACUUAGGUUUAUUGAAGUUUUCUAUGUUAGUACGUAGGUAUAUCUUUAUUGUGGCAUUCUUCUCCGCAAACAUCGCUUCACGCGAGUAAUGAACUGUAAUCAAUUUGUACCUAUAUCAUUUUUUUCCCGAGAAGCACAUAAUUCUUUUGUUGUCUAAGUAGGUAUGUCCUUAAUUUUGUAUCAUUGCUCCAUUUACACCAUGCGCGCACUUUAGUUAUUUUUAAUCAGUUUUAGAACAAAAUGAAUUCUCUAAAUGAACAAAGAUCAAUCUGUUGAGCAUCAGGACUGCAAUCGUUUAUAUUUUUGUCGAUGUUUCUUGCUUAGAAGAAUCCACCUGUUAUCAAUGAUGCGUUUUGCUACAUUACAUUACGCAUCACUCCAUAUGCCCAUUACUCUUUUACGGUAUAUUAUGUAAGUAGCUAAUUAGAUCAUGGCCCAAGUAACAAAUCUGUCUUGAAUGGUAGCGGCGGUUGCGCACGAGGCGAUUCGUUUUAAGGCGCACUGUUUAUGUUAUGAAGCAUCUAGGACCAAAAGUUCGUGUGUGAAAACGUUCGUCGCGCAGUGCAAAACCGCCCAAGUUUAUGGAUGUUGGUUAAUCUGAAUGAAGGGAAAUGUAAUUAACAUUAAAUCAUUUUACGGUUUAGACUCACUUGUUUUAGUCACUCGCGCGACACGCGAGGGAAAUGUAACUUGUACUAUAUUGAAAUCACCAGCGUUCUGAAGUCGGAACGCAACAAGACAUUAUUAGGUGCAUACUACUAUUAUUAUUGACAUUAUUAAUAAAAUUUCAAUAGCGUGCAAUGUGUAAAUAGAUUUAGCGGGAAAUAAUUUGCUUAUAAUAAUUAAUAACACUGCGUAUGUUUGUGAAUUUUUAUUGAUAAUAAAUUAAUACAUAAAUACUAUUUUAACUACACUUACGUGUUUAUGAAUUAUGUGUAAGCAAAACAUUUGCUGAAAAACGAUAAUUUUGUAUUGCUUGAAGGUAAACCCCACUUGUCGUGAUAUAUAAAUAGGUAUCCACGUCAAACUGUCUCCAAGAGAAUUGCAUUUAACCCAUUUUCCAAGACCGAAGUGCCCAUAAGGCCUCAUCCUCACGAGCGCUUUUUCAACGCGCGUUAAAAAAGCGUUUAAAUGACAAAUGGAUACAUGUGUAUUUAUUCACACGAUGGCGGUGGCGCUUUUUAGCAAGCGUUGUUUGAUUUUCGACUUUAAGCGUUGGCCGUUAAAUCUAAUUUAGUGUGCGGGCAGCUCCAAGCGCUUUUUUAAAACGCGCGUUGAAAAAGUGCUCGUGUAGGCUCUCUAAGAGCUCCGAGAACAAAGUUUUGUACGGAGCUCUAAAAAUGCAAGGUAGGGCGAAAUUGUUGCUAAUGGCGUAUUGGAUUGGAUGUAUCUAGUGGAACUGCCUCAAAAAGCAAUGCCAAGAAUCUGAACUUUUAAUAUUGGACUUCCGUAAAGUAAUAAAUAAUGAAGCAAUGUAACGUAUCUCUAACCAAUUUUGUAAUAUAAAAUAGAAUUUGUAUUUUUCCACUGCCAGUAUUUCAACAUCCAUGUAAAAUAUGAUUAAAUAAAAUAGUUUGUAAGACAGCAGUAGCAAUUUAAAUGUAGGUUUAUUACUAAAUAAUGUAAGGAUGCCGAGUCGAAUAUGAUUUUUUAAUAACAUUUUUGUAAUAAAAAUGAAUUUCAAUAA